UACGGAGGGGGCUAGCGUUGUCCGGAUUCAUUGGGCGUAAGGAGCGUGUAGGCGGCCAGGUAGGUCGGUUGUGAAAACUGGAGGCUCAACCUUCAGAGGUCGACCGAAACCAUCUGGCUAGAGUCCGGGAGAGGAGAGUGGAAUUCCUGGUGUAGCGGUGAAAUGCGCAGAUAUCAGGAAGAACACCCGUGGCGAAAGCGGCUCUCUGGAACGGUACUGACGCUGAGACGCGAAAGCGUGGGGAGCAAACAGG
rnacentral:rRNA from 1 species